ACAUCAAGUUCCAGUACCGCUAGGAAAGUCAUAGAUCUUAGUACUGAGGCAGUAUGUCGCAAGACUGAACAUAAGAAAUUGACGGAUGACAACACAGAGUGAGCUGCGCCUAUUGACUCCAACACGGGGAACUACAGUCCAGACAUAGUAAACGAUGACAGAUGAUAGCUCUUUCUGAUACUAAUAGAGAUGGUAGUGCAUGGCCCGUUCUUAGUUGGUGGAGUGAUUGUCUGGUUCAUUCCGAUCGCGGCGCGAGACCAUUCCCUGCUAUUUAGUCGUCCUCAUUUUAUGGGGUAUGACUUCUUUAGAGGGACUAUGCAUAUCAAGUGCAUGGAAAGUUUGAGGGCAAAUAAACAGGUCUGUGAUGCCCCUUAUAUGUCCUGGACUGCACGCGUGCUACACUGAUGCAUACAACAAGUGCCUAGCUAGACAUAGUAUGGCAAUCUGGAAUAUGCAUCGUGAUGGGGAUAGAUCUUUGCAAUUAUAGAUCUUGAACGAGGAAUUCCUAGUAAGUGCAAGUCAUCAUCUUGCAUUGAUUAUGUCCCUGCCCUUUGUACACACCGCCCGUCGCUCCUACCGAUACCGGGGUGAUGCCGGGUGAACCUGUUGGACCCUUAUGGGAAAAAUAAGUAAAUCAUAUCACCUAGAGGAAGGAGAAGUCGUAACAAGGUUCCUAAGUGAACCUGCAGAAGGAUCAUAAUCGGAUCCCGGCCCUUCGCUCAGAGGCCUGCAUCCAAGCGUA
rnacentral:rRNA from 1 species